rnacentral:misc_RNA from 1 species
UUUCCGUAGGUGAACCUGCGGAAGGAUCAUUACUGAGUGAGGGCCCCUCGGGGUCCAACCUCCCACCCGUGUUUAACGAACCUUGUUGCUUCGGCGGGCCCGCCUCACGGCCGCCGGGGGGCAUUUGCCCCCGGGCCCGCGCCCGCCGAAGCCACCUGUGAACGCUGUCUGAAGUAUGCAGUCUGAGACAAUUAUUAAAUUAAUUAUAACUUUCAACAACGGAUCUCUUGGUUCCG